rnacentral:rRNA from 1 species
CGAGCGAACGGACGAGAAGCUUGCUUCUCUGAUGUUAGCGGCGGACGGGUGAGUAACACGUGGAUAACCUACCUAUAAGACUGGGAUAACUUCGGGAAACCGGAGCUAAUACCGGAUAAUAUUUUGAACCGCAUGGUUCAAAAGUGAAAGACGGUCUUGCUGUCACUUAUAGAUGGAUCCGCGCUGCAUUAGCUAGUUGGUAAGGUAACGGCUUACCAAGGCAACGAUGCAUAGCCGACCUGAGAGGGUGAUCGGCCACACUGGAACUGAGACACGGUCCAGACUCCUACGGGAGGCAGCAGUAGGGAAUCUUCCGCAAUGGGCGAAAGCCUGACGGAGCAACGCCGCGUGAGUGAUGAAGGUCUUCGGAUCGUAAAACUCUGUUAUUAGGGAAGAACAUAUGUGUAGGUAACUGUGCACAUCUUGACGGUACCUAAUCAGAAAGCCACGGCUAACUACGUGCCAGCAGCCGCGGUAAUACGUAGGUGGCAAGCGUUAUCCGGAAUUAUUGGGCGUAAAGCGCGCGUAGGCGGUUUUUUAAGUCUGAUGUGAAAGCCCACGGCUCAACCCGUGGAGGGUCAUUGGAAACUGGAAAACUUGAGUGCAGAAGAGGAAAGUGGAAUUCCAUGUGUAGCGGUGAAAUGCGCAGAGAUAUGGAGGAACACCAGUGGCGAAGGCGACUUUCUGGUCUGUAACUGACGCUGAUGUGCGAAAGCGUGGGGAUCAAACAGGAUUAGAUACCCUGGUAGUCCACGCCGUAAACGAUGAGUGCUAAGUGUUAGGGGGUUUCCGCCCCUUAGUGCUGCAGCUAACGCAUUAAGCACUCCGCCUGGGGAGUACGACCGCAAGGUUGAAACUCAAAGGAAUUGACGGGGACCCGCACAAGCGGUGGAGCAUGUGGUUUAAUUCGAAGCAACGCGAAGAACCUUACCAAAUCUUGACACCCUUUGACAACUCUAGAGAUAGAGCCUUCCCCUUCGGGGGACAAAGUGACAGGUGGUGCAUGGUUGUCGUCAGCUCGUGUCGUGAGAUGUUGGGUUAAGUCCCGCAACGAGCGCAACCCUUAAGCUUAGUUGCCAUCAUUAAGUUGGGCACUCUAAGUUGACUGCCGGUGACAAACCGGAGGAAGGUGGGGAUGACGUCAAAUCAUCAUGCCCCUUAUGAUUUGGGCUACACACGUGCUACAAUGGACAAUACAAAGGGCAGCGAAACCGCGAGGUCAAGCAAAUCCCAUAAAGUUGUUCUCAGUUCGGAUUGUAGUCUGCAACUCGACUACAUGAAGCUGGAAUCGCUAGUAAUCGUAGAUCAGCAUGCUACGGUGAAUACGUUCCCGGGUCU